rnacentral:rRNA from 1 species
UGGGGAAUAUUGCACAAUGGGCGCAAGCCUGAUGCAGCAACGCCGCGUGAACGAUGAAGGUCUUCGGAUCGUAAAGUUCUGUUGCAGGGGAAGAUAAUGACGGUACCUAACCAGAAAGCCACGGCUAACUACGUGCCAGCAGCCGCGGUAAUACGUAGGUGGCAAGCGUUGUCCGGAAUUAUUGGGCGUAAAGCGCGCGCAGGUGGUUUAGAAAGUCUGAUGUGAAAGCCCACGGCUCAACCGUGGAGGGUUAUUGGAAACUAAUAAACUUGAGUGCAGGAGAGAAAAGUGGAAUUCCUAGUGUAGCGGUGAAAUGCGUAGAGAUUAGGAGGAACACCGGUGGCGAAAGCGGCUUUUUGGCCUGCAACUGACACUGAGGCGCGAAAGCGUGGGGAGCAAACAGG